GUCUGUGGCUAUGCCACCCUGAACAAGCCCGAUGUCUGAUCUUGGAAGCUAAGCAGGGUUGGGCCUGGUUAGUACUUGGAUGGGAGACCACCUAGGAAGACUAGAUACUGUAGGCA
rnacentral:rRNA from 1 species